rnacentral:lncRNA from 1 species
AAAAUGAUGAUAAUAAUAACAGUAAAAAGGAUGAUUAUAAAAACAAUAAUAAUCAUUAUAUGGCAGUAACAAUAAAGUCAUAUUCAGAAAAUUGAAAGUGAACAAAAUUAAGGAUAAUAAAAAGUAGACAUGAUGCUAAGGGUAGAGAAUAUAAAAGAUAUGGAUUAUGAUGAUUUCUAAGUCUAUCUUUCUCAAAUUAUUUCACAAAAUGUUUUUUUUUGAUUUUGGAACUGGGUAUGUGCGCUGUCGAUGUUAGCAGAAAACUGCUAACAGCGACACGCCGCAUGUUUCCCACGCUGCUCGAGAAGAGGGAGUCGGUGGCCGGUCAGCCUAAGGCGUCUUCAAACGUGGUUCCUUCGCGUGCGUUUUGAGAUUUGGCUUCGCGACAGACUCCGAUCCUGCGGCAGUUUUCCUAGUGUUAAGGGUUCAGUGGGGUGAGACGCGGUGUAGCUUUCGAGGAGCACCGGGGAAAAGGAGGCGACUGCGAGGUGGACGCGUCGCACCUGGCCUUCUUAGACGACGCCGAAGAGUUAGAGGAGAUUCGCCAGCGGUCCUCCUCGGGCAAUAUGCUCGCGAGAGAGCUAAAGGCUGAACUCAUUAAGAUACUCCAGGCAUUGGUUGCAGAACAUCAAGCCCGAAAAAAGAUGCGACUGAAGAUCUUGUUGGAGAAGACAUGAAACCCCGGCAUCGAAAUUCUGGAUUAUUGUGUUGUAAUGAUGAUGAUAUAAGAGAGUGUCCUCUAGUAAUAAGAUUGUCAAGUCUGAAUGCCAUAUACAGUGAAAAUACUAUUGUUUUUGUUUUUCUUAUUUCAUGGUGAAUAUUUAUUUUCUAAUAUUCUAUAUAUUUAGCACUAAUUUAACUUUACACAACAUUUAAGGCUAAGAUUGCAGAUUCUGUAAAUUAUGCAAAUAAAA